rnacentral:tRNA from 1 species
CUUCUCGUAGCUUAGUGGUAUAGCAAUGGUGUGUACAGCCAAGAACCCGGGUUCAAUUCCCGGCGAGGGCG